rnacentral:rRNA from 1 species
GUGGGGAAUCUUGCGCAAUGGGCGAAAGCCUGACGCAGCCAUGCCGCGUGAAUGAUGAAGGUCUUAGGAUUGUAAAAUUCUUUCACCGGGGACGAUAAUGACGGUACCCGGGGAAGAAGCCCCGGCUAACUUCGUGCCAGCAGCCGCGGUAAUACGAAGGGGGCUAGCGUUGCUCGGAAUUACUGGGCGUAAAGGGCGCGUAGGCGGACAGUUUAGUCAGAGGUGAAAGCCCAGGGCUCAACCUUGGAAUUGCCUUUGAUACUGGCUGUCUUGAGUACGGGAGAGGUGAGUGGAACUCCGAGUGUAGAGGUGAAAUUCGUAGAUAUUCGGAAGAACACCAGUGGCGAAGGCGACUCACUGGCCCGUUACUGACGCUGAGGCGCGAAAGCGUGGGGAGCAAACAGGAUUAGAAACCCUAGUAGUCC